CUCGUAGGCGGCCCACUAAGUCAGACGUGAAAUCCCUCGGCUCAACCGGGGAACUGCGUCUGAGACUGGAGGGCUGGAAUCCGGGAGAGGGAUGCGGAAUUCCAGGUGUAGCGGUGAAGUGCGUAGAUAUCUGGAGGAACACCGGUGGCGAAGGCGGCAUCCUGGACCGGUAUUGACGCUGAUGAGCGAAAGCCGGGGGAGCAAACGGGAUUAGAUACCCCGGUAAUCCUGGCCCUAAACGAUGAAUGCUUGGUGUGGCGGGUAUCGAUCCCUGCCGUGCCGGAGCUAACGCGUUAAGCAUUCCGCCUGGGGAGUACGGUCGCAAGGCUGAA
rnacentral:rRNA from 1 species